GAUGAACGCUGACAGCAUGCUUAACACAUGCAAGUCAACUGUGGCGGACGGGUGAGUAACGCGUAAAGAACUUGCCUCACGGAUAGGGACAACAUUUGGAAACGAAUGCUAAUACCUGAUACUGUGAGAGAGCUUUGCUUCCCAUUAGCUAGUGGGAGAGGUAACGGCUCACCAAGGCGAUGAUGGUUAGCCGGCCUGCGAGGGUGAUCGGCCACAAGGGGACUGAGACACGGCCCUGACUCCUACGGGAGGCAGCAGUGGGGAAUUGUGGACAAUGUACCAAAGUCUGAUCAAGCAAUUCGGUUUGCACGAUGAAGUUUUCGGAAUGUAAAGUGCUUUCAGUUGGGAAGCAGUACCAACAGAAGAAGUGACGGCUAAAUACGUGCCAGCAGCCGCGGUAAUAC
rnacentral:rRNA from 1 species